ACAAUUAAGCCUAAAACUAAAAACACCUAUAAAUAGGUUUCUUGUUCUCCGUUUAUAUUUUUACGCUCACUUCUAUCGUCUUUCUUAAACUCCAAAACCAUUCGCCAUCAUCCAAGACCACCGACUUUCCACUUUCCGGCACCGUUUUUCGGCAACUCGGCCGGCACCGUCCUUCCUUCUUUCUUAAUCGUUUAGUGCUGUUUCAAAUACAAAGUACCGGGGACUUUAAGCCAUUAAUUUUGCACCUUUUUCUUAUUUCUCUCUCAAAUGGAAACUAAAUCCUCCACAAACUUACUAGAUCAAUUAGUGUAUCCGGGAGAUGUGGUUCUUGACCUCUCUACCAUGACAAACCAGACCAUUAAGCUUGGAGACGGUUUACGGCAGACGGUUUACGGCAGGUACCUCUCCACUUUCACAAAAUUACAACACUCAUUCAUUACUAUGCUUAGACCCUGUUUGGAUAAACAACUUAAUUAAAUGUUUAUAAUAUAAACAAUGAUCAUAUUAGUGUUUAUGCAUAAGUUAUUUCUAUAACAUAAGAUAAAACAUAGUUAAAAUGUUUUCAUAAGCUAUCCUAGAGAGCUUAUGGGAAUAAGGUGAGAAAAGCUUAUGGAUAUGCCAUAAGCUGUUUACAUAAGCUAUGUCAAACAAUCUCAUAAAUGUUCAUGCUAGUAGAUAAGUUCAAAAAAGCCAAUCCAAGUAGAUCAUAAGUCAAGUGUCUCACUCUUUUUCGAGUUCAAUAUUGGUGCAGCAUAUUAUAUUGGAGACACACAGACACUCAUUUUUAUCAAUGCCUUUUCUUUAUUUGAUACUAUGUUUAGUUUGACACUAAGGACCCUGACAGUCAUGCUAGAUAA